rnacentral:rRNA from 1 species
AUUGAACGCUGGCGGCAGGCCUAACACAUGCCAGUCGAGCGGCUCCGCGGACGGGUGCGUAAUGCCUAGGAAUCUGCCUGGUAGUGGGGGAUAACGUCCGCAAACGGGCGCUAAUCCUGCUUACUAUCAGAUGAGCCUAGGUCGGAUUAGCUAGUUGGUGGGGUAAAGGCCUACCAAGGCGACGAUCCGUAACUGGUCUGAGAGGAUGAUCAGUCACACUGGAACUGAGACACGGUCCAGACGCCUACGGGAGGCAGCAGUGGGGAAUAUUGGACAAUGGGCGAAAGCCUGAUCCAGCCAUGCCGCGUGGGUGAAGAAGGUCUUCGGAUUGUAAAGCACUUUAAGUUGGGAGGCGUUACCAGCAGAAUAAGCACCGGCUAACUUCGUGCCAGCAGCCGCGGUAAUUC